rnacentral:rRNA from 1 species
GAUGAACGCUGGCGGCGUGCCUAAUACAUGCAAGUCGAGCGAACGGACGAGAAGCUUGCUUCUCUGAUGUUAGCGGCGGACGGGUGAGUAACACGUGGAUAACCUACCUAUAAGACUGGGAUAACUUCGGGAAACCGUAGCUAAUACCGGAUAAUAUUUUGAACCGCAUGGUUCAAAAGUGAAAGACGGUCUUGCUGUCACUUAUAGAUGGAUCCGCGCUGCAUUAGCUAGUUGGUAAGGUAACGGCUUACCAAGGCAACGAGGCAUAGCCGACCUGAGAGGGUGAUCGGCCACACUGGAACUGAGACACGGUACAGACUCCUACGGGAGGCAGCAGUAGGGAAUCUUCCGAAAUGGGCGAAAGCCUGACGGAGCAACGCCGCGUGAGUGAUGAAGGUCUUCGGAUCGUAAAACUCUGUUAUUAGGGAAGAACAUAUGUGUAAGUAACUGUGCACAUCUUGACGGUACCUAAUCAGAAAGCCACGGCUAACUACGUG